UUUCGAUUGGCUCAGUAACACGUGGAGAACUUGCCCUAAGCUGGAGAAUAACCUCGGGAAACUGAGGACAAUGCUCCAUAGUCCAUCCGUCCUGGAAUGGUGGUUGGAUGAAAGCUCCGGCGGCUUAGGAUAGCUCUGCGGCCUAUCAGGUCGUAGCGAGGGUAACGUCCUCGCUAGCCUACGACGGGUACGGGUGUUGGGAGACAUCGCCCGGAGAUGGAUUCUGAGACACGAAUCCAGGCCCUACGGGGCGCAGCAGGCGCGAAAACUGCACAAUGUGGGAAACCACGAUGCGGGAAACCCAAGUGCCAGCGCUAUGCGUUGGCUGUCCUCAAGUGUUCGUAACUUGGGAAGAAAGAGCUGGGUAAGACGGGUGCCAGCCGCCGCGGUAAUACCCGCAGCUCAAGUGGUGGUCAUUAUUAUUGGGCCUAAAGCGUCCGUAGCUGGCUUGUUAGAUGCCUGGGUAAAUCGAUGCGCUCAACGCAUCGAAUUCCGGGUAGACCGGCAAGCUUGGGACCGGGAGAGGCAUGGGCUACUCGCGGGGUAGGGGUAAAAUCCUGUAAUCCUGCGGGGAGGACCAGUGGCGAAGGCGCCAUGCUAGAACGGCUCUGACAGUGAGGGACGAAGCCCUGGGCGCAAACCGGAUUAGAUACCCGGGUAGUCCAGGGUGUAAACGCUGCGGACUUGGUGUCGCUGAUCCUACGAGGGUUGGCGGUGCCGGAGAGAAGUUGUUGAGUCCGCCGCCUGGGGAGUACGGUCGCAAGACUGAAACUCAAAGGAAUUGACGGA
rnacentral:rRNA from 1 species